rnacentral:rRNA from 1 species
GUAGGGAAUAUUGGGCAAUGGAUGCAAGUCUGACCCAGCCAUCCCGCGUGCCGGAAGAAGGCCCUCAGGGUUGUAAACGGCUUUUGACGGUGAAGAAUCGACAGGAUGCGUCCUGUUUUGACGGUAGCCGUUGAAUAAGCACCGGCUAACUCCGUGCCAGCAGCCGCGGUAAUACGGAGGGUGCGAGCGUUGUCCGGAUUUAUUGGGUUUAAAGGGUGCGUAGGCUGGACGGUCAGUCAGCUGGGAAAAGCUGUCGCUUAACGAUAGUCUUGCCGCAGAUACUUCCUUUCUUGGAUGAGGAGGAGGCCACUGGAACGGAUGGUGUAGCGGUGAAAUGCAGAGAUAUCAUCCAGAACACCGAUUGCGAAGGCAGGUGGCUGUACCUUAAUCGACGCUGAUGCACGAAAGCAUGGGGAGCAAACAGGAUUAGAAACCCGAGUAGUCC